UACGUAGGGUGCAAGCGUUAAUCGGAAUUAUUGGGCGUAAAGGGUGCGUAGGCGGUCCUACAAGUCAGAGGUGAAAGGCUACGGCUCAACCGUAGUAAGCCUUUGAAACUGUAGGACUUGAGUGCAGGAGAGGAGAGUGGAAUUCCCAGUGUAGCGGUGAAAUGCGUAGAUAUUGGGAGGAACACCAGUUGCGAAGGCGGCUCUCUGGACUGUAACUGGCGCUGAGGCACGAAAGCGUGGGGAGCGAACAGG
rnacentral:rRNA from 1 species